UACGGAGGGUGCAAGCGUUAAUCGGAAUUACUGGGCGUAAGGCGUGCGUAGGCGGUUCGUUAAGUCUGUUGUGAAAGCCCCGGGCUCAACCUGGGAAUGGCAGUGGAUACUGGCGAGCUAGAGUGUGUCAGAGGAUGGUGGAAUUCCCGGUGUAGCGGUGAAAUGCGUAGAGAUCGGGAGGAACAUCAGUGGCGAAGGCGGCCAUCUGGGACAACACUGACGCUGAGGCACGAAAGCGUGGGGAGCAAACAGG
rnacentral:rRNA from 1 species